rnacentral:lncRNA from 1 species
AGGGUGGGAGUCCCCCCUGGCUGCUGGUACAUUUGCCCCCCACAGUAUGGGGACAGAUGGGUGAUUGAGGGUUUGGGAAAGUUCUUUCCCUCAAAUGAGGAUCCAGCUGAUAGUCCUGCUGCGUGUUGCUUAUUUCCAAGCACUUCAGGGUGGCUUCCUCUGAACUUUAGCUUCUAGAACCCAAGACCUGGAGGGUUGAGGCUCUUCUUUGGAUCACACUUCCACACUCCCUCUUAAACUGCAGGCCAACCGUUUGAUUUCUGCUGCCUUUGUCCUCCCAUAAAAGGGAUUUGGGGGCAUAAUUCUUCGAGAAAUCUCAAGUGCUUUUAAUCAAAAACUACUUUUGAUUCUUCAUCUUUUUUCUUGCAGCUAUUUUGAGUUUUGUUCUCCUCGGUUUGCGGAGGCUUCUAAAAAUGCAUUAGUUUCCAGCUUCCCAGGUGAGAGCCGAGGUCUCCAAAGAGCAAAGUGGAUUCUGGCUGAAGCUGAGUCAGUAAUCAGCUUUGUUGGCCUUUGACUCUACCCAAUUUGCUUGCUCUGAGGAGGUGUGUAGAGUGAAUGUACACACAGAAAAUGUGUCAUGGUUCCUGUAUUCCAGGAAGAAAGAUGCCCCACAGGCUCACUCCUCCAGCCUUCUUUUCCAGCAGGGGACCCAGAAGGACAGCUGGGAAAGCAGCAAGAUGACCAUCUACGUGUUGUCCUUUGGGAAUGACUUUCAAGUUCAUGGCUGCGGUGGCUGCUACCCAAAGUCAACAGCACGGAAACCUUCCUGUUAUAUCAGAACCUCUAUCUAAAAAUGGAUUGACUCAAUAGGAAAGCAACAGCAAAAGGUAAUACUUCCUUAGUAGGUAUCAGUCAGUGGAACAAACCAGUCUUGGGUCUUGGUCCCUCUGGAGGGUUUUUGAGAGAUCUAUGGUUGUCA